rnacentral:rRNA from 1 species
CCUACGGGAGGCAGCAGUGGGGAAUUUUGCGCAAUGGGGGAAACCCUGACGCAGCAACGCCGCGUGAGUGAUGAAGGCUUUCGGGUCGUAAAGCUCUGUCAGAGGGGAAGAAAUGAAAACGGCUAAUACCCGUUUUUCUUGACGGUACCCUCAAAGGAAGCACCGGCUAACUCCGUGCCAGCAGCCGCGGUAAU